rnacentral:rRNA from 1 species
AUUGAACGCUGGCGGCAGGCCUAACACAUGCAAGUCGAGCGAGCGGCGGACGGGUGAGUAAUGUCUGGGAAACUUCCUGAUGGAGGGGGAUAACUACUGGACACGGUAGCUAAUACCGCAUACCAUCAGAUGUGCCCAGAUGUGAUUAGCUAGUAGGUGGGGUAAUGGCUCACCUAGGCGACGAGCCCUAGCUGGUCUGAGAGGAUGACCAGACAACGUGGAACUGAGACACGGGCCAGAAGCCUAAGGGAGGCAGCAGUGGGGAAUAGUGCACAAUGGGCGAAAGCCGGAUGCAGCCAGGCCGCGUGUGUGAAGAAGGCCUUCGGGUUGGAAAGCACUUUAAGCGGGGAGGCGUUACCCGCAGAAGAAGCACCGGCUAACUCCGUGCCAGCCGCCGCGUAAUAC